rnacentral:rRNA from 1 species
GAUGAACGCUGGCGGCGUGCCUAAUACAUGCAAGUCGAGCGAACGGACGCGAAGUUUGCUUCUUUGACGUUAGCGGCGGACGGGUGAGUAACACGUGGAUAACCGCCCGAAAAGACUGGGAAAACUGGGGGAAACCGUAGAUAACACCGGAGAAUAUCAUGAACCGCAGGGUGGAAAAGAGAAAGACGGUCUUGCUGUCACUUAUAGACGGAGCCGCGCUGCAUUAGCUAAUUGGUAAGGUAACGGCUUACCAAGGGAACGAUGCAUAGCCGACCUGAGAGGCGUAUCCGCCACACUGGCACUGAGACACGGUCCAGACUCCUACGGGAGGCACCAGUAGGGUAUCUUCCACAAUGGGCGAAAGCCUGACGGAGCCCCGCCGCGUGAGUGAUGGAGGUCUUCGGAUCGUAAACCUCUGUUAUUAGGGACGUACAUAUGUGUCAGUAACUGUACUCAUCUUGACGUUACCUAGUCAGAAAGCCCCGGCUAACUACGUG